ACCCCGGUAAUCCGCGCUUGCGUGGUUUUAUUACGCUCGUUGUCGGAGCCGUAGUAACCGGAAUAUUCACUGGUCCGUGCCGUGCUAGAUUGGCUUCUGCAUCCGAGCCAACCGCGUGCACGUCGGCAAAAACAUGGUGCUGCCUCCUUGGCUCGCUUCACCGUGUCUACUCCCGACGAGAUAUUCGACCCGUCAAUCUUUCCCGCAUUCCCAUCAAACGACUCUCCGGCUGACGGAGGCGAUUGGCUCAAGGGUGCUUCCUGUCGCAGAUCGUCUGGAAACAAGGCACCGCCAACUCUGGUCUCUCGUCGCGAAUAACAGCGCGCGUCAGCCGAUCCCGCAAAACCUCGAUCGUACCCCUAGUGCUGAGCCUCUUCUCCUCUAACUCAGCUACUAGCACAGCGGGGGUAAGCCGUGCUACGUCUAGCUUUAACCCACGCAACUCUCGAUCUCGCAUGAGCUCCUGCAUCAUAUCGUGCUCGACGUUUCUCCUACCUCUACCGGCCAUGGCCAAAUUUCGCGAUCUCAACUCUUAACCUAACACGACUGCACACUCUACUCACACACACUCCGAUCAAUCACACGCUUCCGGCAAAACUUUUCGCGCACAAUUUCUAAUUUCCCGAUUACACUAAAUCCCUCCAAGCCCCACGUUCCGGGCGCCAUUUGUGACGUGGUCAAUCUGGGGUGAGAAUUCGCGUCUCAACCCUGUCCCGAAGCCUCGACACUAUUAUUUCUUGAGUAGAUCUCGGAGGAAGUUCCGCGAGAAUUCCGCUGUUCGGGUUACAGCGGUGUGUAAGGGUCGGAAAAUCAGAACACUUUGAUUACUAGUUACGACUCUUUUAUUAUUUAACUCGGCUAAUACACUACGGCCGUCGGCUUAGCGGCCGACUCGACUUGCCGCUCGCACACACACUCACGCGCACUCUCACACUCUCUCGAGGCUCGCUGCCUCCGCACACCUCUCCGUCGUCGCGGCUCGCUCGCGCUAGUGUCGCGCACGCUCCCGCGCUUACUCACAUACACUCUCUCUCUCUCUCUCUUUCUCUCCCUCACACGGUUUGCUCUCGCGGCCUGCUCGUCGGUACGCCGAUAAGGCAGACCUCCGCUGCGUCCGCGGAGCCACUCCGACCGCACGGCGAGUACACUCAUCAAAAAGAUACUCCACCAGCAGAUCCUCUUCAGAAUGAGAUGGAAUGCAGCCGUGAUGGACAGCGAGAUCAACCGCGUAUUCUCGGCGUGCAAGAUGGAAAAUUUCUAAUUACGAAACAACAUCACCUGCAAGCACCACCUAGCGCUCAGGCAGCUGAUCUUUCGCAGCAAUAUCACGUACCAGCAGGGUUCUUUUGCAGAGAAGAGAAAAACGGCCAUGUUAUCCAGCAACCACGUAUUCACGGACCCUUAGAUAAUCAGACAACCAAGCCUUUGCAGCAUAAAACCUAUGUACCAGCAAACCAAGAACACGAAAUGAUGGUAGAUCAUAAUGGUAGAUGGCAAGAGCCGUCACUUAGGUCGAUCUCUACAGUGCAUGCUGAAUUAUGGCAAGGACAAGCAGCUGGCAAGCAACAAGGUAUACAGGAACCCCCUUGUACUCUGAUAACCAAGCCGUGGUACCAACAAGCCGAUUUACAAACAGGAUCAUGGCAAGGGCAGGCAGCCGGCCAGAUACAAGGUAUACAGGGACAUCCCUGUACUCUGACAACCGAGCCCUGGUACCAACAAGCCAAUGUGCAAACUGGAUCAUGGCAAGGGCAAGCAACUGGCCAGCAACAAGGUACACAGGGAGCCUCCUAUACUCUGACAACCAAGCCCUGGCACCAGCGAGCCAAUAUGCAAGCAGGCCCUUUUUGCCAAGCAUUGAUUACAGCAGAACCUGCGGAGAAAAAGACGCAUCAAAAUUGCAAAAUUCAAUAACGUUGGUCUAAAAUGCCAAAUCUUAGAAAAAGACAUAAUAAUCGGCGAGUUACGGCGUGAAAUAGAGCGCAAGGAAAACAUGCUUUAUCAAGGACUAUAACAACUGAGAUUUCUUCUAUCGUCUGACAUUCGCAGCAACAAUAAUUUAUGCUGACGUCCACGCCAUAUGCGACGACAUAAACUCCAGUAAGAUAUCCAGAAGAAAACAGCUAUAAAAAUGAAGUUUGCAAUGGAUCAUACUUGGAUCUGCACAAAGCAGUUGAACGAUUUUCGCCAGAGAAAUUCUUCUAGUCGCUCACGAGGAAUGGAUCACUAAAACUAUUUUUAUAUUUUUCUAUUUGCUUUUUUAUUUAGCUAACUGAUAGUUAUAUUUUCUUUUUUUACUACGUUCUUGU